CAACCCUAACAUAGCCCACUUUAAUUAAACAUAUUCAACAUGACUAAUCUCGUAACAACUUGUGCUUAUCUUAUGCUAAGUACCAGUGUGACAUGGCAUAAUAUAAUAGGUGGUGGAAGAUAAUGAUUGAUUACAAAAUUGAUUAUACCACAUAUUAUAGUGUGUCAUGUCACUUAGUGCACGGGUGCUUAGGAGAUUAAUUUCAACAUGCAAAUUAACUUCCCAACCCAGUAUUUCACAAACUCUCCUUUGUAGGUCGUAACCAUUUCUCAACAAAAUUAUUGCCUUACAAAAUCUCUUAACCCGCUUAAAUCGUGCAUUUGAAGGCUCCUUUUAGUCAUUUUUUCUUGAUUCCUAAGUUUAAUUCUAUUCUCUCUCUCAAUUUUUUUCCCCUUCUUUUUGCAGAUCUGAAGAAAUGUAAGAGAGUUGAAAGGCAAUUGAGAGUUACAUUUAGAAUAAGAGAAAAUGAAAUCUGUUUGCAAUUUUGUUUAAUUGGGAGGUUAAUUGAAUCUUGUUGAAAAUCUUUGUGAGUAUUCUUGAUGCGGUCGUCACCCAUAUAUGUUUUGGGCUACUUUGAUAUAUGUUUUGUGUAGUUUAAAUUAGGAUUGUUUAAUCAGGUUUGGCCCAAGCCCAUUUACUUUCCAGGUUUGUCGAAUAGCUUGGUAAUGUAAUUUCAAAGAAGAUGAUGAUUGAUGAAUAUCAAUGAAAU
rnacentral:lncRNA from 1 species